rnacentral:tRNA from 1 species
AGCUCACUUGGAAAAGCAAAGACUGAAA